CCCGCGGCCGCGAACAACCACCACUAUCGUCAUCCCCAAUAUCGCUACUACCGUCAACAGUAGCACCAGCAACAACAAAAACAACGAUAUCAACAACGUUGGCGAGAGAAGGAUCCUCUCAGGUGACGGCGACAACAGCAUCGUUAUAGGUAGUAGCUACAAAAAUCCCGUGACGGGCAACAACAAAAACAUCAGGAAUAGCAGCGGUGUUACUUGCGCACGACGACGACGACGACGUUGUUGUUAUUGUUGUUGUUGCCGUGCCGUCUUGUCGACUGCGGCAUUGUCUCGGCACGACGCCGCUGCCGGUGACGGCUGAUCUCGGGCGGUGGUGGAGAGGAAGUAGAGGUAGAGAGAGGAAGGUCAUCGCGCUCGUGUGACGGCGGCGACAACGACAACGGCAACGGCGACGGCGGCGGCGGCGACAGGAAUAGCGGCGACCGCCCAGCUCACGCGCUGUCGUUGGCGACAGCAGCGUCGGCGGCUGCGUUCUGUUAUUAUUUUGCCGCGGUGCUUUUGACCCUUCGGUACCGGGCGAGUUCAUUGCGGCGCUGUCGCGGGGGUGUCAGCCGGUAGUACGUCCGCACCGCGCACUCCACCGCAUAUUCUCCUUCUCCUCCUCCUCCUUUUCCGUCCGUCUGGCGGCAGCAGCGCCGGAGUCGACGGAACGGCCGCCUCGUGAUCGUCAGGCGCGAGGAUCGUCGACGGGGCGCGUCCCUAAGGCGCCCGUCGUCCCGUCGGUCCCGUCGCGGGCUCCCGGGGACCCCGGGUUCCUUCGAACAGAGUGCAAAGGAGAGUGCAGGACAUCGUCGACGAGGGAAAGACGAUACCACGUGAUAGUCCUCGAGAACGAACGAACGGCCAAGUGUAGAGUCAGUUAGUACUGUCAGUAGUCCGCGAGACGUCACGCGGUUACGCCGCGAUCUCGUCAUAACCUGAAAGAAUCUGAAACUGCCUGAAAGAACCUGAAGGAACCGGAAAUCGAGGGUGCUCCAUCUGUUUCGUCUCCCUUGUUUCUUCUCUUUCUCGCGCGCGCCAACGAAAACAAACCCGGGCCUUACGAGCGCGGGAUUAAUAUACCACCUCGCCACCUGAUCCGGUGGCGCGCUCGCGUCCCUCUUUCGGAGUACGGGACUGUCAACCGUUUCGUUCUAACUUCUGACGGAGCGUGGAGGAGCGACAGCAGGAGAAAGGUGUUCCACGCACACGGGAACGGGAAUCUCAGUGAAGAGACCCUUCGGCGCACUUCGGCAAAACGGCCGAGCGGUGGAGCGGAGUGUCCACGUGUGUGAGUCACAGUCAUCGACAGAUCGUCAAAUCACCGGUAUAUCGACAUUAUCAACGCUAUUAUCGUCGCGCACGUUACGCCCAGCCGCGCGACGAAUCGUCGCCUCGCGAAUCCGUUUCUUUGCGUCCUCCGAUCGACUUUGAAGAAUAGAGAGGGAAAGAGAGAGAGAGAGAAAGAGAAACGCGCCGGCGGAUACCAACAGUAAAGUUUCACGGCCGCGACCCGAUUGCGAUCGGCGAAAGGAAAGGCGCAAGCGAAGGCACGAGCGAAGAAUACAAUUCCGCGCGCGCGCUCGCGCUCGUCGUGUCCCCCGUGUGUGUGUGUGUGUGUGUGUGUGUGUGUGUGUGUUGCGUGGCGUGCGUGCGUGUGUUUGUUUCUGUGCGUGCGCGAAGCCGCGUCGUCAUCCGGCACGUUCCGGGGCCGAGGGAAGUGGUGCCCCGCGCUGCUCAUUAUGCUCGCGGUGACAGCUCGACGAUAAGCUCGACACCGACAGUGGGUUUUCCCCCUUCCUUCCCCCUUCUCCCAUCCCGUUUCCCUCGAAGGUGCGCUGCUAGUUUCGCGAGUGCUCGCGCUGUUUCGCGCGCGAAGAGGAAGUACACCGUAACAUCGAGUAUCCAAGUUUUCAUCUCUCUUGCCCUCCCCCUUCCCCCCCUCCUCCCCCGCUCCGUCCUCUCCCACUAUUACCGCUGUCACCGACAUUAUUACACCUCGUCGCCCUCCUCCAUCUCACCCCCCCCCUCACCUGUGAAACCUAACUCCAUUGGUGAAGUGCGCGACUAUUGAAAUCAGUGAAAACGUACCGUGGUGUCUCCCCCGCGUAUUAUAACGCCAUACAUAAAUCUACAUACGUAUGUAUACGCGCAUGUACAUCUGUAUCGUCCAGUGUGUUCGAUAAGUGCGAAUUUUUCUUACUUUCUCGACCGGAUUUCUACCUGCCUUGUGUGUCCCCUCAACCUCUACCCAUUUCUCUCGUCUAUCAUUCACGGCGUCGCCGGCUUGUUUUUUUUCAAGUGAAUCGCCGCACAAAGAGAGGCCACACGAGUGUGACAGAAUAAAGGAGGACGUAUUUCAGCUUGCGUGAGGAGCGUCGAAGGUAUCGUCGUCGUAUUGGCCCGCCACCGGUGAAGCAUGGAGGCUGACGGUGACGCGAAGUAAGCGGGCCUUCUCAUUCUCCCCCCUCCCUCCCUUUCGAAAUACGCACCUGCUGACAGACAGAAAACGAAGGCUGAACCCUCUUACUAUACAUAUAUUUAGAAAAAAGAAAAAAAAACCGUAACGAAUCACCGCCAAAAGCUAAUAGAAUUUUAGUCAAAACGUGAGAGAGAGAGAGAGAGAGAGAGAGAGAGAGAGAGAG